CUGUGAUGUGACUGCGUGCCUUUUGAAGAAUGAGCCUGCGAGUCAUGGUGUGUGGCGAGGUUAACCUGUGUGGGGGAGCCGUAGCGAAAGCGAGUCUGAAUAGGGCGUUUGAGUCGCAUGCUGUGGACCCGAAGCGGGGUGAUCUACGCAUGGGCAGGUUGAAGCGUGGGUAAGACUGCGUGGAGGACCGAACCCACCAGGGUUGAAAACCUGGGGGAUGAUCUGUGUGUAGGGGUGAAAGGCCAAUCAAACUCCGUGAUAGCUGGUUCUCCCCGAAAUGCAUUUAGGUGCAGCGUUGCGUGUUGCUUGCUGGAGGUAGGGCUCUGGUUGGCUGAUGGGCCCGACAAGGUUACUGACGUCAGCCAAACUUCGAAUGCCGGUAAGUUUGCGUGGCAGUGAGACUGCGGGGGAUAAGCUCCGUGGUCGAGAGGGAAACAGCCCAGAUCACCGACUAAGGCCCCUAAGCGUGUGCUAAGUGGGAAAGGAUGUGGAGUCGCAGUGACAACCAGGAGGUUGGCUUAGAAGCAGCCAUCCUUGAAAGAGUGCGUAAUAGCUCACUGGUCAAGUGAUUCUGCGCCGAUAAUGUAGCGGGGCUCAAGUACACCGCCGAAGUCGUGGCACUGUCAACCGUUUGGUUGGUGGUGGGUAGGGGAGCGUCGUGCGUCCGGUGAAGCUGCGGAGUGAUCUGUGGUGGAGGGUGUGCGAGUGAGAAUGCAGGCAUGAGUAGCGAGUCAGAAGUGAGAAUCUUCUGCGCCGGAUGACCAAGGGUUCCUGGGGCAGGUUUGUCCGCCCAGGGUAAGUCGGGGCCUAAGGCGAGGCCGACAGGCGUAGUCGAUGGAUAACGGGUUGAUAUUCCCGUACCCGCUGUGAUGCGCCCAUACUGAACCUGGUGAUACUAAGAGUCCUUAAGCCGGCUGGUUCUUCGGAACUGGUGUCAGGGUGAACGCUCGGCCUGAUCUGGUAGUAGGUAAGCGAUGGGGUGACGCAGGAAGGUAGCCCAUCCCGGGCGGUGGUUGUCCCGGGGUAAGCAUGUAGGGCGAGGGAUAGGUAAAUCCGUCUCUCAUUAAGCCUGAGGUGUGAUGCCGAGCCGAUUGUGGUGAAGUGGGUGAUCCUAUGCUGCCGAGAAAAGCCUCUAGUGAGUGUUGCGGCGGCCCGUACCCUAAACCGACUCAGGUGGUCAGGUAGAGAAUACCGAGGCGGUCGGGUGAACUGUGGUUAAGGAACUCGGCAAAUUGCCCCCGUAACUUCGGGAGAAGGGGGGCCUUCGCUGGUGUAGGACUUUUGCGUCUGUAGCUGGUGGGGGUCGCAGUGGCCAGGGGGAAGCGACUGUUUACUAAAAACACAGGUCCGUGCUAAGUCGUAAGACGAUGUAUACGGACUGACGCCUGCCCGGUGCCGGAACGUUAAGGGGACCGCUUAGCGCCUUUUUGGGUGCGAAGGUGAGAACUUAAGCGCCGGUAAACGGCGGUGGUAACUAUAACCAUCCUAAGGUAGCGAAAUUCCUUGUCGGGUAAGUUCCGACCUGCACGAAUGGCGUAACGACUUCCCCGCUGUCUCAACCACAGGCCCGGUGAAAUUGCAGUACGAGUAAAGAUGCUCGUUUCGCGCAGCAGGACGGAAAGACCCCGGGACCUUCACUACAGCUUGACAUUGGUGUUUGGAGCGUCUUGUGUAGGAUAGGUGGGAGACUGUGAAGCCGCGACGCUAGUUGUGGUGGAGUCGUUGGUGAAAUACCACUCUGGUCGUUUUGGAUGUCUAACCCGCGCCCGUGUAUCCGGGUGGGGGACAGUGUCUGGUGGGUAGUUUAACUGGGGCGGUUGCCUCCUAAAGGGUAACGGAGGCGCCCAAAGGUUCCCUCAGCCUGGUUGGUAAUCAGGUGUUGAGUGUAAGUGCACAAGGGAGCUUGACUGUGAGACUGACGGGUCGAGCAGGAGCGAAAGCUGGGACUAGUGAUCCGGCAUCGGCGUGUGGAAGCGGUGUCGCUCAACGGCUAAAAGGUACCCCGGGGAUAACAGGCUGAUCUUCCCCAAGAGUCCAUAUCGACGGGAUGGUUUGGCACCUCGAUGUCGGCUCGUCGCAUCCUGGGGCUGGAGUAGGUCCCAAGGGUUGGGCUGUUCGCCCAUUAAAGCGGUACGCGAGCUGGGUUUAGAACGUCGCGAGACAGUUCGGUCCCUAUCCGCUGCGCGCGUAGGAGACUUGUAAGGGGCUGUCCCUAGUACGAGAGGACCGGGACGGACGAACCUCUGGUGUGCCAGUUGUUCCGCCAGGAGCAUGGCUGGUUGGCUACGUUCGGUAGGGAUAACCGCUGAAAGCAUCUAAGCGGGAAGCUCGCCUUGAGAUGAGGUCUCCCUCCAUUUGUUUGGGUAAGGCUCCCUGUAGACGACGGGGUUGAUAGGCCGGGUGUGGAAGCGCAGUAAUGUGUGGAGCUGACCGGUACUAAUAGGCCGAGGACUUGUCCAU
rnacentral:rRNA from 1 species